GCUAAUUAUUUUAUUUUAAUGUUUUUCUUCUGUAGAGAUGGGGUCUCACUGUGUUGCCCAGGCUGGUCUCAAACGAUCCUCCCGCCCCAGCCUCCCAAAGUGUUGGGAUUACAGAUGUGAACCACUGCAUCCGGCCUACCUUUUCAGUUGUUGAUCCUCCAUUAGAGGAAAUGUCUCUUCUCCCAGUCAGGAGUUAACCACCUGCUGUAACUUCCUCUUUAGCAUCGCCAGAGGAAACUAAGUAUGACUGUGCCUUCACUCUGCAGAAAGAAAAUGAGUGGCAAAGGAGUUGCGAAGGGAUUCCUGAGCCUUUAUGCCAGCUGGAAGCUUAAGGCCUUGGUAUUUGAGACUUCACCCUUCAAAAUGUCUUGGAGGAUGGCCCAGCAACCAGCCAAAUGGCCCAAUGGCCUAGCCCAGUGGAGACGGUCUCAGCUUUUGACAAGCUAGCCGGAGAAAGGGCUGGACAGGAAGGGGCCCACUGGACAGCGAAUAUUGAUAGGGCCCCUGGGAGGAUCAAUUUUCCCCUCCAACAGUGCCUGGCUCCCAUUAUCAGAUUAGAUGCAAAGUGGGCUGGCAUGCCAGGGGGUGACAGGAACAGUGUCUCCAGAAAUCCUCUGUGAAGACACCCAAGUAUUGUUCAGAAGUGGCCCUGUAUCUGGAAGAGGGAAAACUGCACCCACUUCUUGCAGACAUACAGUUCCAGCUCCCCCCACAGGACUUGCUCAUACAUCCAACAAAUAUUUAAUCAGUGCCCACCAUCUGCCACUGUGCCAGGUGCCCGGCCUCAUCAUGAGUCAGGCAGAGGUGGUCUGUGCAGUUUUCCCACAAUGUGAGAGGGUGCUGAGAAGACUUUUAACGCUUAUUUAACUACGGAAAUAACUCUUGGUUUGGUACCUACUACAAAAUAAAAACAAGCGCUUGUUGAUAAUUUCUGGAUGGAUGACUGUGGAAAGCUGGAGGAGACUGAGGAUCAAUUUGCUCUAAUGAACCUUCCCUUGACUAUCAUCUCCGUUACCUCCUGCCGCAUCCCUACGGCAAAUAUGCAAGACUCUCACGCAGCUAAUUUCCAGGGGUUUGCAGUCUGGGGAGGAAGCAGAAAGCACAUCCCUCACUGACCCUGAGGAGGGGCAAAUCUCUGGUAGCAGUCACAGGUACGUGCUGUACACACUUCCCAUCCUUUGAGCCUUCCCAGCUGGAGAGCACCAAGAGAACGCAGUUGGGGAGGCCCCGAAAGAUGAAGGGUUGUUGAGCUUGAAGGCAGUGAAAAAGUAAAUGGAAGAAAGCUCUCUGCCCUCCACUGCCUAAAUGCAGGAUAUAGAUUUAGAAGGAUAAAAGGGGUCUGCUCCCUCUCUCGACCAGGGAAAAGUUAACCACUGAAGACAACUUUAGACUCUUAUGGGCCUGGAGCUGGAACCAGAGGAAUGGACAUGAAGGCGCUUUACUAACUCUAUUUAUCUGCCAGUUACUUACCUUUCUACAAGUUCUCCCCUUAGACACUCAAAGUUCUUUUCCUUUGUCCUGUCGCUUCCCUAAAACUUGGCUUUUCUUUGUUGAAGAUGCUAUACAAGCUGGAAUUCAAAGCUACCACUUUGAGAACUACUCAAUUCCUGCGUGUCUCCCAGGCAGAUGUGAAAUACACAUGUUAAUAAACUUCCACUGGUUUUUCUCUUGUUAAUCUGUCUUUUGUAACAGGAGUCCGUUCCAACCACAAAUCUAGGGGGGCUGAGGAAAAACCCCUACAGUGGCACACACUGAA
rnacentral:lncRNA from 10 species